rnacentral:rRNA from 1 species
UACGGAGGGUGCAAGCGUUAUCCGGAUUCACUGGGUUUAAAGGGUGCGUAGGUGGGUUGGUAAGUCAGUGGUGAAAUCUCCGAGCUUAACUUGGAAACUGCCAUUGAUACUAUCAGUCUUGAAUACCGUGGAGGUCAGCGGAAUAUGUCAUGUAGCGGUGAAAUGCUUAGAUAUGACAUAGAACACCAAUUGCGAAGGCAGCUGGCUACACGAUCAUUGACGCUGAGGCACGAAAGCGUGGGGAGCAAACAGG